rnacentral:rRNA from 1 species
UACGUAGGGUGCAAGCGUUGUCCGGAAUUAUUGGGCGUAAAGAGCUCGUAGGCGGUCUGUCGCGUCGGCUGUGAAAACUCGGGGCUCAACCCCGAGCCUGCAGUCGAUACGGGCAGACUAGAGUCCGGCAGGGGAGACUGGAAUUCCUGGUGUAGCGGUGAAAUGCGCAGAUAUCAGGAGGAACACCGGUGGCGAAGGCGGGUCUCUGGGCCGGAACUGACGCUCAUGAACGAAAGCGUGGGGAGCGAACAGG